rnacentral:rRNA from 1 species
CGGGACACGUGGUAUCCUGUCUGAAUAUGGGGGGACCAUCCUCCAAGGCUAAAUACUCCUGACUGACCGAUAGUGAACCAGUACCGUGAGGGAAAGGCGAAAAGAACCCCGGCGAGGGGAGUGAAAAAGAACCUGAAACCGUGUACGUACAAGCAGUGGGAGCACGCUUAGGCGUGUGACUGCGUACCUUUUGUAUAAUGGGUCAGCGACUUAUAUUCUGUAGCAAGGUUAACCGAAUAGGGGAGCCGAAGGGAAACCGAGUCUUAACUGGGCGUUAAGUUGCAGGGUAUAGACCCGAAACCCGGUGAUCUAGCCAUGGGCAGGUUGAAGGUUGGGUAACACUAACUGGAGGACCGAACCGACUAAUGUUGAAAAAUUAGCGGAUGACUUGUGGCUGGGGGUGAAAGGCCAAUCAAACCGGGAGAUAGCUGGUUCUCCCCGAAAGCUAUUUAGGUAGCGCCUCGUGAAUUCAUCUCCGGGGGUAGAGCACUGUUUCGGCAAGGGGGUCAUCCCGACUUACCAACCCGAUGCAAACUGCGAAUACCGGAGAAUGUUAUCACGGGAGACACACGGCGGGUGCUAACGUCCGUCGUGAAGAGGGAAACAACCCAGACCGCCAGCUAAGGUCCCAAAGUCAUGGUUAAGUGGGAAACGAUGUGGGAAGGCCCAGACAGCCAGGAUGUUGGCUUAGAAGCAGCCAUCAUUUAAAGAAAGCGUAAUAGCUCACUGGUCGAGUCGGCCUGCGCGGAAGAUGUAACGGGGCUAAACCAUGCACCGAAGCUGCGGCAGCGACGCUUAUGCGUUGUUGGGUAGGGGAGCGUUCUGUAAGCCUGCGAAGGUGUGCUGUGAGGCAUGCUGGAGGUAUCAGAAGUGCGAAUGCUGACAUAAGUAAC